CACCUCUCAGGGUCGCAUCUGGAGAGUUUCCUGUCCUCUACCAGUAUCGACUACGGGAGGGAGAGUCCAACAGAGGCCCGUCCAUUCCACUCCUAGCUUGGCCAGUGGCUAGCGACUGGAAGACCAUCGGCUACAAGU